rnacentral:rRNA from 1 species
AUUUUCCGCAAUGGRCGAAAGCCUGACGGAGCAAUDCCGCGUGAGGGAGGAAGGCUCUUGGGUUGUAAACCYCUUUUCUCAGGGAAGAAAAMAAUGACGGUACCUGAGGAAUAAGCAUCGGCUAACUCCGUGCCAGCAGCCGCGGUAAUACGGAGGAUGCAAGCGUUAUCCGGAAUGAUUGGGCGUAAAGGGUCCGCAGGUGGCAUUGUAAGUCUGCUGUUAAAGAGUUUGGCUCAACCAMAUAAAAGCAGUGGAAACUACAAAGCUAGAGUGUGGUCGGGGCAGAGGGAAUUCCUGGUGUAGCGGUGAAAUGCGUAGAUAUCAGGAAGAAC